rnacentral:tRNA from 1 species
UAAGUAAUAGCUUAAUUUAUAAAGCGUUGGACUGUUAAUCCAAAGAUGUAGAUGCUACUUACUUAG